CCUGUGUGGAUAUAAAAGAUAACGUGGUGGAUGAGGGCAAGUAUUUCACUCCAAAGGGGAACGACCCAUGUUUGAGCUGCACCUGCCACAAUGGUGAACCAGAAAUGUGUGUGGCAGCUCUGUGUGAGCGGCCCCAAGGCUGUCAACACUAUGAAAAGGACCCAAAGGAAUGCUGCAAAUUCACCUGCCUGGAUCCAGAUAGCAACAGUCUU